CGAGCGAGCGGGAGAGCUCAAAUUUAUAAUCUGGCACCUUCGGUGUCCGAGUUGUAAUCUCUAGAAAUGUUUUCCGCGUUGGACCGCACACAAGUCUGUUGGAAUACAGCGGCAUAGUGGUGAGACCCCCGUAUAUGGUGCGGACGCCCAGCGCUUUGUGAUACAUUUUCGAAGAGUCGAGUUGUUUGGGAAUGCAGCUCAAAUUGGGUGGUAAAUUCCAUCUAAAGCUAAAUAUUGGCGAGAGACCGAUAGCGAACAAGUACCGUGAGGGAAAGAUGAAAAGCACUUUGGAAAGAGAGUUAACAGUACGUGAAAUUGUUGGAAGGGAAACGCUUGAAGUCAGACUUGCUUGCUGAGCAAUCGGUUUGCAGGCCAGCAUCAGUUUUCCGGGAUGGAUAAUGGUAGAGAGAAGGUAGCAGUUUCGGCUGUGUUAUAGCUCUCUGCUGGAUACAUCUUGGGGGACUGAGGAACGCAGUGUGCCUUUGGCGGGGGUUUCGACCUCUUCACACUUAGGAUGCUGGUGGAAUGGCUUUAAACGACCCGUCUUGAA
rnacentral:rRNA from 1 species